rnacentral:rRNA from 1 species
ACGGGUGAGUAAUAUAUCGGAACGUACCCUAGAGUGGGGGAUAACGCAGCGAAAGUUGCGCUAAUACCGCAUACGAUCUACGGAUGAAAGUGGGGGAUCGCAAGACCUCAUGCUCAUGGAGCGGCCGAUAUCUGAUUAGCUAGUUGGUAGGGUAAAAGCCUACCAAGGCUUCGAUCAGUAGCUGGUCUGAGAGGACGACCAGCCACACUGGAACUGAGACACGGUCCAGACUCCUACGGGAGGCAGCAGUGGGGAAUUUUGGACAAUGGGCGCAAGCCUGAUCCAGCAAUGCCGCGUGAGUGAAGAAGGCCUUCGGGUUGUAAAGCUCUUUUGUCAGGGAAGAAACGGUGGACUCUAAUACAGAUCACUAAUGACGGUACCUGAAGAAUAAGCACCGGCUAACUACGUGCCAGCAGCCGCGGUAAUACGUAGGGUGCAAGCGUUAAUCGGAAUUACUGGGCGUAAAGCGUGCGCAGGCGGUUGUGCAAGACAGAUGUGAAAUCCCCGGGCUCAACCUGGGAAUUGCAUUUGUGACUGCACGGCUAGAGUGUGUCAGAGGGGGGUAGAAUUCCACGUGUAGC